rnacentral:rRNA from 1 species
AUCUUCUUUGAAGGUAUGCUUAAGGAGGGGCUUGCGACACAUUAGUUAGUUGGCAGGGUAAAGGCCUACCAAGACUAUGAUGUGUAGCUGGACUGAGAGGUUGAACAGCCACAUUGGGACUGAGACACGGCCCAAACUCCUACGGGAGGCAGCAGUAGGGAAUUUUCGGCAAUGGAGGAAACUCUGACCGAGCAACGCCGCGUGAACGAUGAAGUACCUCGGUAUGUAAAGUUCUUUUAUUAAGGAAGAAAAAAGAGUGGAAAAACUCCCUUGACGGUACUUAAUGAAUAAGCCCCGGCUAAUUAUGUGCCAGCAGCCGCGGUAAUACAUAAGGGGCGAGCGUUAUCCGGAAUUAUUGGGCGUAAAGGGUGCGUAGGCGGUUUAAUAAGUCUAUAGUUUAAUUUCAGUGCUUAACGCUGUUGUGCUAUAGAAACUGUUUUACUAGAGUGAGAUAGAGGCAAGCGGAAUUCCAUGUGUAGCGGUAAAAUGCGUAAAUAUAUGGAGGAACACCAGAGGCGUAGGCGGCUUGCUGGGUCUUUACUGACGCUGAGGCACGAAAGCGUGGGGAGCAAACAGGAUUAGAUACCCUGGUAGUCCACGCCGUAAACGAUGAGUACUAAGUGUCGGGUAAAACUGGUACUGAAGUUAACACAUUAAGUACUCCGCCUGAGUAGUACGUACGCAAGUAUGAAACUUAAAGGAAUUGACGGGACUCCGCACAAGCGGUGGAUCAUGUUGUUUAAUUCGAAGAUACACGAAAAACCUUACCAGGUCUUGACA